rnacentral:rRNA from 1 species
GGAGUUAGCCGGUGCUUCUUCUGUGAGUGAUGUCCUUCCUGCCGGUUAUUGACCCGCAGGCCUUCUUCCUCACUGAAAGUGCUUUACAACCCGAAGGCCUUCUUCACACACGCGGCAUGGCUGGAUCAGGGUUGCCCCCAUUGUCCAAUAUUCCCCACUGCUGCCUCCCGUAGGAGUCUGGGCCGUGUCUCAGUCCCAGUGUGGCUGAUCAUCCUCUCAGACCAGCUACGGAUCGUCGCCUUGGUGAGCCGUUACCUCACCAACCAGCUAAUCCGACAUAGGCUCAUCCGAUAGCGCGAGGCCCGAAGGUCCCCCGCUUUCCCCCGUAGGGCGUAUGCGGUAUUAGCCUGGGUUUCCCCAGGUUAUCCCCCACUACCGGGCAGAUUCCUAUGCAUUACUCACCCGUCCGCCGCUCGCCACCAGGGAGCAAGCUCCCCGUGCUGCCGCUCGACUUGCAUGUGUUAGGCCUGCCGCCAGCGUUCAAUCUGAGCAUGAUCAACUACUGA